AUGAAGAAUGCUCAGGACAAGGGCUGGAGUGCGGGGGGGGACCUCCAGCCCCCCGGGGGGUCCCUGCGCCUCCUCUGCCGAGGGGCCGGGUUCGAUUUCGGGAAUUUUGAAAUGGAUUGGGUCCGCCAGAGACCCGGGCAGGGCCUGGAGUGGGUCGGGAGCAUCAACACUGGUGGCAGCAGCUGGUACGCGCCAUCGCUCAAGGGCCGGGUCACGAUCUCCAGGGACAACGGGCAGAGCUCGGUGACGCUGACCAUGACCGACCUGAGGGACGAGGAUUCCGGAUCCUAUUUCUGUGCCAAAACCACUGUUACUGGAAAUGUUCAUCCUGGUUAUGGAAUUGGCCCCCUCCCCAUCCCUGCGUCCCCCCCUGUCCCCAUGGCCCAGACCCUUCCCCAAACCCCGGCCCCUGACCCCAUUCCUGUCCCCGUGUCCCAGCUCUGAAAUGGUUCUGCCCCA